GCAGAGGGAGGUCGUACAGUGGCAGAGUCGGUGGCGCGGCGGUGGAAGGAGGCUAGGGUGCGGCGCAGUAGCACUAGGGUUUAACUUGUUCUUUUUUUUUCUGAUUUGAUGCUUUGGGCUGAUGCUUUGGGCUAUUAGGGUUUGGGUAGUUGGGCGUGUAUUUGCUGGGCUGGUAGGUUAGUUUUAGGUGGGUUGGGGUUUCUGUUUUGGGUACUGGUCCCGGGCAAAAUUUGGGUUGUACAAUC
rnacentral:lncRNA from 1 species